rnacentral:rRNA from 1 species
GAUGAACGCUGGCGGCGUGCCUAAUACAUGCAAGUCGAGCGAACAGACGAGGAGCUUGCUCCUCUGACGUUAGCGGCGGACGGGUGAGUAACACGUGGAUAACCUACCUAUAAGACUGGGAUAACUUCGGGAAACCGGAGCUAAUACCGGAUAAUAUAUUGAACCGCAUGGUUCAAUAGUGAAAGACGGUUUUGCUGUCACUUAUAGAUGGAUCCGCGCCGCAUUAGCUAGUUGGUAAGGUAACGGCUUACCAAGGCGACGAUGCGUAGCCGACCUAAGAGGGUGAUCGGCCACACUGGAACUGAGACACGGUCCAGACUCCUACGGGAGGCAGCAGUAGGGAAUCUUCCGCAAUGGGCGAAAGCCUGACGGAGCAACGCCGCGUGAGUGAUGAAGGUCUUCGGAUCGUAAAACUCUGUUAUUAGGGAAGAACAAAUGUGUAAGUAACUAUGCACGUCUUGACGGUACCUAAUCAGAAAGCCACGGCUAACUACGUG